GGGAGAGGAAAGGCUGAGAGGGAGAGGGAGCCUGGGAGCGAGCGAGCGGGGAAAGCAACAACUGCAGAGAAAGUGAGCACAAAACAGAAAGUGAAAUCACCCCGGGCUGCCAGCCGCAUCCCCGAGAAGCUAUCACCACUCACAUUGCUAUUAGACAAAUGAAACCUUAAACCUCUCUCCUCUAAUGACCACUGAUUGCCCGGAGUGGUGAGGAAAGGAAAACAGAAGAAAGACGAUAAGCACAUCCUCGAAGGUAGCAUCCUCCUUCGCACAACUUCUUAAGUACGAGGCGGCAACGGGACAAGAGAUAAGGAAGGCGUCAGAACAGUUAGCCGCCCACCCAGAUCCGAACCAGAGAAGCAUCCCUCCGCGCUCCCGAAAUCCCCGCGCAGGGGCUGCCACUCGGCUGGGGCAGUGCACCGCAGGGAUGCGCCCGCGUUCCCAGGCGGAGCGCGAGUAACACUCUCUAGCUUGUUGCUUCCCCGUGUGAUCAAUUAAGUUACAGAUGCAGCACACAAUGCCGCGGAGUUACAACUUCUCUGCGGUAGAAGACGAGGACUCCGUGGGCACUGUAUGCAAAUGUGCAUGUAUGUGCUCUGCACAGGAAUAACUGCGCUUCCCUCUUUGUUUGCAUAAGUGAACAUCCGCCGUACGCACGUGCAGAGAAACAAGCAAACGCUUUUACUUUUAGCGUUACUAUGCGUUUAGAGACUACGUCUUACAUUUCUUCUCUCGCUUUUCUUCAUUAAGGCUAGAGACGGGCACAGCAGCCAGCGCAGGCAGAUGCUGGGGAGGGAUGCUGGGCUGCUCUGCGUCCUCGCAGAGGGAAGGAAUCAACCUCUCGGUUCACGUCGGGGCACUUACCUGCUCACAGCUGGCAGCGCAUUUUGCGCCGUCUCUUUCAUUAAACACACAAAAGUAAAGCAACGCUCAACAAGCAAAGCAACCUGUCUGUGUGUUGAGUUUUAGCGCAUCUUUGAUAAGACGAGCAAACCCACAACUCCUGUGGAGUUGGUAGAACAGCGUCUGAAGUUUUGAUUCAAAGGGCGAGAAAUUCCGCCUUAAAAGUCAUACGCCCCAUUCUAAACUCCCCUCUAUCCCCAGUAAAUGCCGGACAAUUAACAGGCAUAUUUCAAAGUUCCCUCUGCUGAUACUCUCCGACAAUGAAGGCUUUUUACAGGCUUGUUAAAGAUGUUCAGAGAAAGUUUUGCAAGAUAAUCAACAGCAUCUGAGAGAAAGCUGAAGGAGAAGAAGUUAAAGUCUGCUCAUCGACUGGGAGAAAGUUUUGUUAGACAAGAUAAAAGCAUAUCCCUGCAGUGUUCUUCAUAAGCAACACCAUCAGCUGAUGUGAGUUCCCCUAGAACAAGCACCUCUGGCGAUCUUCUCAAAAUUUAGGGGACGUUUGCAUUUUGUAACGCCCAAAGCUAAGGAUCUGACUGACAAAAAAGAACAAACCAAAAACCUCUGCACUCUUUAGAGCGUCAUCUGCCAACACAAUGUAUUGUCCUGGCAGAAGCAGGAACAAGAAGGUUUUAAUUUCACUUGAAACUGUGCAUCACCCUGACGGUGAAGGAAAAAGCCGCAGCAACAAUCUCCCCACUUCAUACCCCCGUUCCAUAAAAAAAUGGGGGGGAGGGGGGGGCGGGCGGGGGAGGGGGGGAGAGAGAGAAAAAGGGAAAACCACAUAAACUUUUACAAAGAAAAAUAAAAGCAAGUUUGACAUGAAAACCCCUUCCUGUCUAGGAAAGUUCAUUUUAAAGGUCCCCUCUGUAAAUCUAAAGUGCAAACACCAGGCUAAGGUAGUGAGUGGCUGGAAUUUGCAUGCUGAUAAGAGAAGGCUGUUGUACUUACAGUGACAGAGGGCAGGCUGCGGAAGAAAAGCUGUUUGUGUUAGCCUGAGAGUCACCCAGGGCUGCAAUGAGAGGAGAAGAGAGGAGUGGGAGUGCCAAGCUGGAUACACCUUCACCGCAUCUCAUCACAUCUGCCAGCCUCUCUCUCCCUCUCUCUUUCAUUUCCACAUUCCCUUUGUUCCUGAAAAAAAAAAAAAAAAAAUCUACACGUCACAUCAGUCCCCAGAUGCAGUCUACACCAAAGAAAAAAAAUGAAUAAUUCAAUCAAACUGUGCAUAGUCUCUAAGGCACUAAAUCUAUUGCACUUAAAGAAACGAAGGGUAAUUACCGCUAUAGAAUUAGAAUAAGGCCAGAGCGUGCAGGGAUCCCAGGGUCUGUAAACUCCACGGUCAAAUAAAGUUUCACGUAUUUAAUCCUUUGACAACCCCAAUGUAAACUAGAGGGGAGGAUCAGAACUUAUUCCGGUUGGGUUUGAGAAUGCUUGAAGUGAAUGUUACAGAAGCGGAGCGCCCGUGAUCUGUGACAAACACAAUGCGAGGAAGUCGAAGUGUUUCACUGCAUCACCUCCAGGGUCCGUUCCCCCCUCCCUAACGAAGAGCAGACCACACUCCCACCGGCUUCUGCCGCUCUCUGCAAGUGCAGCGGGAAUCGCUGGCAGCCAGCAGCCGCCUUACCUGCUAGAUCGCCAACGACGCCUGACAAAAACUCAGGCUAGGCGGCAAUUUUGUCCCACGCUUUGGCGGAGAGAAGCCACGGGGGAUUCGCAGCGGCGAGGAUUGACUCGAAACGCUGCCCCUGACUCGCGGAUUCGCGCUGGGCUGACUUUGGGGACUGCCUGCCGGGGGCGGGGGGAGCGCGCUGGGGAGCGGAUCCCAGCUGGGCGGGCGGCAGGCGCAGCGCUGCCGGAGCCCCGCGACAGAGCGGCCGGGCCGGGCCGGAGGAGGGCCGCACUUCUCCCUCUCCUACCUCUAACGGUGCGCUCUCGGCUCGGAGGGUGGCGAAAAAGAGAAAAUUGCAAAGACUUACUGGGUGGCAGGAAGUGGGAUUCACUAUAAUCAACAGCAGCGGGGGACUCUUUGAGGUUGUGUUGCAAGAUAUAUUCAAGAUUUUAGCAGAAAGAAAAUAAUUGCAUUUAAUAUUGUGCUGGUGGGAAAUAGCAUAUGUUCAAUCUUUUCCAGCUUUUAUACUUACAUUUAGAUUCAGACUCUUGCCCUUAAGAUGCUACUCCUUAAGGUUUGGAGACAAUUUUUCUAGUACGGUUAUGCUGAGGAUGUUAUAUUAUUAGCCAGGAAGAGCUUUACACUAUUUGGAUUUUUUUUUCUUCCAGAAUUUACCAAAGGUUUGUGAACACACUCACUGGACAAAACAAACAGCCCUGUGUUCAAUAACUAAGCUAUUUCCAACCCAUAAUGAAAUUUCCAGCUCUAUGUUUUGAUUUUUUUUCAUGAAAAAAAUCAGGAACAAUGCAUUUUCUCAGAUACUUGCUGGAAAGUUCUUCCUGGAUCAAAUCACUGUCACUUCUAUCAUUCAUAGCUUCUUUAGAAAGGGUGCUGCUCUGUCUGUAGAAAGAGUAACUGAUAAGCUGAUGAAAUAAUUGAAGUUUCUUAAGACAGAAAAAGCUGCCAGUCUUGCAAAGCUUUUCUACUCUUAAGGGGGAGGAAAAUUUAUGUAUAUGACAAACUAACAUCAGGGCUCAACUAUAACUCAGAUGACUUCAGGAAAUUAUGUAGGUCACUCUGAAAGUAAUGCCUCCUAUUUAUUUCUAUGGAAAUUACAACAGAUACAAAGAGCGCAAUAACACUGUUUGGUUGAGCAAAGUCUCAGCUACAAAACACUAUUUUUCAACAUAGUCACCACCAUUAGCUAUGCAUUUUCACCAGCAGUGAACAACAGCCUUCAUGACACGCUCGUAAAUAUCUGCACCAGUGGAGGAGACCCACUGUAACCACUGCUGAAACGCACCACCAACCGCUUCCCUGUGCUCACAUCCACUGGUUGGUCUCCAGAAACAUUCAGCACAUGUUGAUGAAUGCCAGUGUGUGCCAUUUUUUCCAACUUUUGCUUCAUUUGUACUUCCACGUCAGAUGCCAUUCUGUAAGACUGCCCCUCUGCUGCCAUCUGCCAUGCAGCAACAACAUAUAAUGGAAUAUUAGCAGGAAGGUUCAGUCUCUACUACCAUACCACCAGCAUCUGCUCCUGACCUUGUAGGCCAAUAUAACAAAAUAGGAGGCAUUACUUUUGGAGCUGCUCUCGUAAGAGUAGCUAUGUAGAAUUCUAUUUUGUAAUUGUGUCUAUUGUGUAGAAUUCUAUUAAAAUCAAAUACACUAAUACAGAAUGGCAUCUCCAUAGUAUGUUUCAGUAUUGUCCUGUUGUGCCCAUAAUUAACUAUGUAGAAAAGAAAAACUGCCCACUGUCUGGCCUAUCCUUUCCUCUGACUAAAAAAACAUUAAUUUAAACAAAAUAUCUAUAUUUUAGUGAUUAAAGUAGGUGAGAAUUCUGUCUUGCAUGACUACUGCAACCCUUGACUUGAUUCAGCAUUUACCUUUUGUAAUUCCCCUGCUUUGUGUGACUAGAAUAUGAACCAUGUGGUAGACCUUCAAUUAUGUAAAACGCUAAAGGAGCACCGAUCAUUUACACUCUCUGCAGAUCUACCUAAUCUUCCCCUAUGAGUAGAUGCACACAUCAGGUAAGCAUAUGAAAUUAUUCUUAUGUGAAAAUCUUUUAGAGCAUUCCUUACUUUAACUGUAUUGCAUUCUCAUUUUUCUAUUUAAAUACAAAUAGAAAUACAUAUGGGUGUAUAAAAACCACAUGAUCAACUUCUGGAAUAUGAAACACACCAGAUCUGGGCUGUGUACUGACAGGUGUCUGCAAAAAGACUUUAUCUGGAAGUCGUGUGUUGAAGGAAGAGUUGGGGAAAUAAUAUUUCAUUCAAGAAAAACCUUCUUAAAAGUGACAUCAAGGCUAAGCAAAUUAGUUUAAUUUGUAAAAUCUAAUGACUAUACUCCACAAGCUGCAGUUCCACAGUUACUUUAUGUGGCUUGAUGGCUGGCAUCAAAGAAUAUACCUUUGUGGCUCCACCCUCACUACCAGCACUAAUAUUAAGUCAGUUAAAGAAACAGAUCUGGAUUGUGGAAGAGGAGCUGUUGUGAUUUGAAAGCAGCUACACAAAAGCUACUGCUGGCACAAGAGGAGAUAGACAGAGAGUGAAAGGAUGUUGGUAUGGAGAUCAUAUCACUACUUUUAGCUUGAAGGAAAGAGUGGAACUGCAGCCUGCUGAUGUGAUCCCGUGGCACGUUAAACAGACAAAUGUUCAGUUAACACAGUCUUGCCUCCCAUCCUUUCUCUACCAACUAAGCAUUUCUGUUCUUUCCCUUGCAUCAGCACUAACACCCACACAAGUGUGCAGGAGCCAGUUCAGGGAGGUGACUUGUCUGGAAGCUAACCCCACAGAAGUUGUUUUAAAAAAAGAAAUGCACAACCAAACAAAAAAACUUUUCAACCAGAUCUGCUCCAAGGAGCAAUUCACAGAAUGAUCACACAAGAACUAGUGCCAGCACAAUGGAGAAGGUGGAAACACAGAGCCAGAGGCAAUAGAAGAGAGGACAAGGCAGCCCAAACUUAGAUCAACUCCAGCUGUGAUGGACCUGGAGCCAGAGCCAGCCUGACCACUUACAAGCUUCCUCUGAAACCUCUGCACUUUCUUUGAAAACACUGUGAUAGAAUGAGUAUGUAUAUAGAGUUUAAAUCACCAAGAUGCCAAAGAAAAACAAGGAAUAAAAUCAAGAAGCUUACUUGCACACUGAAUGAGACAGAAGCAAGAAAAGAAAAAAAGAAAACACUUUUGGUCUUAAAGUUCUGUAGCAUAGUUUCUGUAGAAUGUAAUAGGCAAGGACAAAUCAUUCCUGACUUGAGUACUAGAGCUAUACAGACCACAUUUUUGAGUGAAUUUCCACUUUCUAAGCCUUCACAGUGUAUUUUUGGGCUGACAGGAACAUGCUAGCAUUGGCUUCUGAAAGCAUUAUUUUUAGUUCGCAGGACUCCACAUCAUUAUAAAACAUAUUAUUCCAUGUUUUUGUUUUUUUUUUUGGCAACUAAAACAAAUAAAUGUUUGAGAUGAGAAGAUAAGGUAGAGACAGCUUGAGAAGGACUGGAAAGGUCUGAGAUUAAGCAAACCAGGAGUGAUCAUUGGGCCAGAAUUAACAGUGCUGUAGACGGAAGCUCUUUUCUCUAUGCAGGCACAUUAACUUUGCCAUCCCGCAUCCACAAAAAUGUGAAUAUUUUGUCAGUUGAGGAUAUAUAACAAAUUGACCCUAGCUUAAGUUUUAAGGACAGCUGUGUAAGACAUGACUAAAUAAUGGUAAACUGAAUUUAAAAGUAGGUAGAAAAAUCUUUACUCACGGGGAAAUAAAAUUAACAACGAAAAGAUUUCUAAUAUAGCAUUCACACUAUAAAUAAAGGAAACAAUAUCUUGUAUGAUGGCUACAGUAGCAAUACUAUGAAAAAUACAAAACUGUCCAUAAAAGACGAAUUUUCUUAAAGCUUUGGAAAUUGCCAAUUGACAAAAACCAAAGGGAGACUAUAAAGGGUUGGCAUGUUAAUUCCUGAAAGAGAACCGCCUAUUUGAAAGUAACUUCGAUUAGAUCAGCAAGCCAGCUGCACAGAGGCUGACUCAGACCACUGAGAUAUUUGAGCAGUUUAUGUGUGCAAAGUACUUAUGUAAAUAAAAAGAUAUUACUAGGUUUAGUUUAUCUAUCCGCAGCCUGUACUAGUUGGAAGGAAGCUAAGACUAUCACUGAUUUAGAGGAAAACAGAUGAAAAGCCUAAAAAAAUCGUAACGACUCUGUGACUUGUCAUGAGUGCUCAUAAUGAAGGACUGUAACAGACAGCAGUGACAUUUAGUAUUGUGAAAUCUCUGGUGCUAAGAAUACACAUUAACUAGCAGACGUAUCUCCAAAUCUAAGUAGGAUAAGGUAGUGUUUACAUACAUGUUUGUGCUCCCACUGUUGUAGUAUUUUCCUUUCCUGAAGUACAAAUGUUCUAGAUCCUUUCCUGAAAACUUAGGAAUUAUCAACCAUGCAUAAAUGAUCUGAGAGCAUAAAAAGAUUUCAGAAAGUUCAGUAUGAGCAGCAAGGUACUUUAAUAGUUAACACAAACAUUUGAACACAAGAUGGGACCAAAAUGCCUGCUUCUGGAGGACAGCAGCAGAGAGUAGCAAGGAAAGAGUACAAAAUGAUAUGUCAAGGGGAAAAGCUGGGAAAGAGUUGUCAAAGGAAUUCCAAGAGAAAAGGGAUCAGAAGCAAUUCACAUGCAAUCAGUCUGCUUUCAGAACUGGACAAUUCUAGGAUUCCAGUUUUACAGAAAUAAAAGUUUCUCAGAAACCUUUUAAUGUGGGACUUUCCCCAAUGCUGUGUACAGCCACUGUGGGGAGGUGAGGAAAGGAAAAGAAUCAGCCUUCUGAAGCUUUGAUUGCUGGCCAUAAAAACAAAGUUUAGUUGAUUUAAUCCCAUUUGGAUAUUUAUUUACCUAUUCUUAUCUUGGUUAGCAAGCAGAAAACAUCCUGGAAAGGGAAAAUGCAUAGCAAUCAGGAGAAUAGGAUACUAUAUCUGAAUCUCAGGAAAUGAAACAUGGGCUUUAGUGAUAUGAUCAGAAAAACACCUGUAAAUCCCAUCCCUUUCUGGUUUGUUUUCUUGAUGGAGUUUUGGUAGCAAUCUUCAAAACCGAAUUCAAUUUCGCCAAGCAGAUCACGUCAGUUGAGCUCCAACUGCCUGUAGGAGCACAGCUUGAGGAUUCAACCACACCUAGUGGUUGGAUUAGAUUAGAUCAGCUUUAAUUAGAUUUUUCCUUAGGGAAUUUGUCACAGAGACCGAACAGCCUUUUUUCAUUUGUUUAAAAAGAAAAAAAAUGCAGUUUCAUCUUAACAGCAGAAAGACAGUAAAACAUAGAAAUGAGAAUAUAAGAAUCACAGAAUGCCUUUCCUAUCUACAGGAUUUUAAUAUAUUAAAUACAAUUUUUGUCUAAGUCAAUCAUCACAGAGUUCUAGCUCUUUUAAUCAGUAUGUUGGUAUACAAGUGCGUACCACUGAGGCAACCCUGGGGCUGCUGUCUCCACAGUUGUUGUUCAGGCAGUGUUUUGCAAUUCCCCAUGCUGUGUAGCACAGGAUUAUCCAACCUGGCAUACUUCUUCACAUUCCUACCAUCACACUGAAUUACAACACGCAUACAGAAAACAUUACCAUAACACAAUUAUGAAAUAACCACCCUAAAUUAGUAGAUCACAUGUAGUAUUCCAAAAGCAGGAAGUGUUUCCUACCUAAAAUUUAAAGAUUAUUACUAGUCAGGAGAGAUCACUGAUCUCUCUUUAGGAUUAAUUCAUGAUGUGAAAUAUCCUCUUUAUCGGAUGGUAGUCAUUAGGAGAAUUCAUGGGUGGAUCAGUGAUCUUUGAAUCUCUGCUAGAUUGUCACUCACCUUCUGCAAUACCCUAAAGAAAUAUGUUGUUUGUUGAUUAAUCAUUGUAGUACAGAAAAAAUAAAGCAAUUCAUUAAAAAAAAAAAAAGCCCACAGUGAAACUGAGGUUUGCAAAUGCCUACCAAUGCAGUGAGUAUAAAUUGCCUUAUAAAACAAGCUGUAAGGUAGAUAAUCAGCAUGACAGGACAUUGAAUACUGGGGUUGUAUUUUUUUUUUUUCUUUUUAAACAGACUGAAGUCAAUGUUCAGCUCAUUCUCAAAAUUUAAGUUGUCCUGUGGAAAGGUACAGAACAGCCAAAAUCUCUAGACAACAAACACAAACAAAUUCUUCCUUUCUAAAAGGUCACUAAGAUGCACAAGUCAAUUACUUACAAUGCAAGAACAUGAACUAGGUUACUUUACUUACUGGUGCUGUCUAAACUUAAAAAUAUUCCACACUGAAGGUUCACUUUCCAGGCAUGCUGUCCUAUACUAGGCUUGAGAAUCUUUCCCUGCACGACCAUUAAAAGUGCUUUCAAGUCACAAAUGCACCAUACAUUUCUCAAGAGCUGUAAGUCUGAACACUUGAACUUCAGAAUUCUUAAUGAAAUUACUUGUAGCUACAGAUUGUCUUUUGGUAUCUCACAAUUUUAAAGUAAUUUAAAAAAUCCAGUAGUUGCAUUUUUACAUGUUAAAAUGGAAAUGGUUAUGGUUCCAAUCUGCUUCUCAUAGCAUGUAAAAAUAUCACAUAUACAUAAUUCUGGUAGGCACCGUGCUUUAUUAUAUUAGCAUUUACUGGGGGAAAAAAAAUCAAGUAAUUUUUCUGGCCAGAAGUUUAUGAACUAGAGUUGGAAAGCUGGUCUAUAAAUCAAGCAAACAAUUUCACUAUCAAUUACUUUCUCUCUCCCUUCAAAGUGUCUAUUGCACACAGAGAUGUCAUUAAACAGGAUUGCAGAAAGAAGCUACACAAUAAUAUUUGCCCAACUUGUUUCAAUUUUCAUUUACUUCAAUAUAGCACAACAUACUUCAGAGUCAGUAAUCAGUAAUUUAAAUUUGAAAUUCCUUACCUACUUUUCACCAUCAAAAAUACAAGGUAUUUCAAAAACAAUUGUUCUGUUAGUAAUGUUGCAGAUAUUACAGUUUCAUUACGAAAAGAAAUGAAUUAUAUUGCUAUCCAAGAACAGUAUAAGUUACAAACAAUAAAACCACCAUCAAAAAUUAAAAAUGACCUUCAUUGAAUAUCUAAGACUGUUAUCUAUGUUCAGAUCUUAACAGUUCAACAUUCAAACUGCAUUUUUAUGUCUCCUACAUAAUAAAUUCAAUCAUUUUAGCAGGUCUACAAAAUUAACAGAGAGCAGAAACUCCUACCCACAAAUGCAGCCUAAUAGAGGUGCUAGAGAACAAUGUAGCAGGGCCUGCUAUAACUCCUUCAUUUGUAUCUGCAUAUGUGUAGCAUUCCUCGCCUUUCUGCACAUCUUAGGUAUUAUUAAAACUCAGAUCAAGACAAAUAAGAUAUUUAGGACACCUACACAUUUUAAAGUGAAACCAGUUCAUGAAUAAGCUAAAAGAGCCAGGCUGAAGCAGUACAUGUCAAGACCACAAUGUGAGCUUCUCCCUUACUCGCUGCUAACAGCUUGCUUUCACUCAAUGUGUAUAGAAGAAUGCUUAUAGUAACAAGUUCUCAUCUAGUGAGUAAAGGAAGAAACUAUCAUUACAUCAAGUUUCCUUUGCCAUCUUAGAAUCAAAUCACAUAAGUGUGACAAGGGAAAUUGUUAGCAUUAAUCCCAACUCAUUACAUUCUUAAUUCUUAGUUUAGCCAUUCACCUAACAAGAAAUACGUCACAUAGAAUUUAUAAAAUUCCAUUAAAUUAUUGCAUGAGAUUAUUACAUACAUUCACAUUCUUAAUGUUGUGUGUAUGUAUGUAUAUUUAUAUUCAUGGAGACACAGGAAGACAAAUACAUUUAUAGCGUAUAGACAGAUACACGUGUGUACUUCUGUGUGAAAUCAAAACAUUUUGAAAGAAGAAAAAAAAUUCUUUGUUUGACCACACUCAUUACCUACUAGUGGGCUGUUCAUACAGGCUUUCCUUAGGAAAAUACACAGUCACAAGUUUUACUAUAGGUAUACAAAGCAAACAAUCAAAAACUUUCUUCAGCAAAUUUGUAAAGUAAUCCAACCACACAAACUAAAAUUUUCUCUUCAGCCUGAAGGAAUAAAAGAGAUAUCUUUGGCUCAAAUGUUUUAAAAUGUAUCAUCUCAAUACCUGCAUAAGUAAAAACAAUGCUCAGCGCUGUAACCCUUACAAGUGAAAUUAGUGCCAGUUAGAAAAAGAGGGAAGAGGGGCUGCACAGCACUGAAGAUCUGAGUGCUUUAUAACCCUUCUGAUACACCUGAGUCAGCGCUUUCUUUCCUUUGCUACUUAUCUAAUCCUACUUCUUGCCUUCAUGGCAAAAGCUACUGGUUUUAUGACAGUCCAAGUAAAAGUGGUCAGUAGUGCAGUAUUCCCACAGAAAGUCAAAACACUCAUGGAAAUAUGGAAAUGAAUUUUUCCAGAUUCAACACCAUGCCACAACGUGACUUUAGGCAAAGUUUCACUUCUUGUCACCAUGUUGUUAUCUCUGACUAACAUCCUUGUUCUGCUUCGAACAUGCAUGGGUAUCACCCACCAGCCAUCAAACUGCUGUUGGGGUCAGGCAUUCACAAAACAAAAGAUUAAAAUAAUAGGAAUGCUGUAUAGCAGACAAAUUACUCUGCUGAGCUGCCUGUAGUAACAGAGGCACUGACCCCUGAAGGACUUCACAGAGCCGUACCUGCUGCAAUUCAGAACAACUCUUCAGCCAAAGGGGUAAGACUUUAUGUUAGAUUUAACCUGCUCUUGUUUUUAUACUGUGUUUCCUCAAUCAUAUUCAUCCACUGUUGGAAUCUGUCUAUCACUAAAUUACAUGUUUUGUUCUUUAUGUUAUCCAACCGAGAUUUUGUUGGCUUUGUUGCCUAAAGGCACCAGCAGAACAACAAACAGUUCCAAGUAAGCUGCCCUUACACAGCAGCGGACGUGCUAAUAAAUGACCUGGUAAAGACUGAUCACAAGUGAAAGGUGCUUGAAAUUUAUCAGUCCUCAAAACAGAUAAUUUUCAUUUAUUCUAACAUAAACUUGAUGAAAUCUGGAUUUUGAAGAAGUCCCAUUGCUGUAAAGCAGAACUAAAUAUCCUAUUUCUCUGUGGUGUUCAAGAAUACUCUGAGUGUUCACUUAUAUACAGAAAUCAAACAUUUGAAAUAAAGUGCAUAAACUUGUCAGACAAAAGAGUAUUAUAACAGCAGAUCCACUGCUGUUCAUUUUUACUUUCUCCACUCCACAGUUCUCCUGAUUUCUAUUAACUAGUUUGCUGCCACUGGCAGUCCUUUUGCAAUUUAAUUUGUCACGAAAAUAAACAGAAAACCAAUUUUAGGCAUAAUAUAAGUAACUUGCUAGAAGUAUCUAACACAGCGUCGUUGUUUUUUUCAAUAUGCAACAAUGUUUUCCUCCUAAAUAUCCAAGAGAUAACAGGAUAACUCUUUACUCAAAUCGAUUUUUAAAAGCCCAGCCCUUGUCAUCCCUUCCUCCCCACCCCCCAUCCAAAUUUCUCCAUGUUUUAAGAGAGCUGGGCAGCAGUAAGAAGCAGCAGGUUGAAACUAUUAAAAUAACUGACAGGACAAAGUGUGGACUCAGAAAGGCUUUUCUGUAUGUGUGCCUUCUAAAUCUACCAUUGAGCUUUUCCCUGAGAUUAUAAUGUGUGAGAUACAGUGCAAGGACUUGAUCAUUACAGUCACUUCCCUCCCCUUCUGUUUCUAUGCUGGUUGUCUUUAUGUGAGCGUGUGUGUUUUCUAUUCACAUUUGGAUCUAUUGCCUUACUCAGAUCCCAGAAUAUACGGUAAGAUGCGUUCUAUUAAACACUUUUCCAGGUGUCCUAAAAUACUGCAUAACUGCCCCACCCCAAAAUAAAUAGCUGUUUCAUUGAGGUCUUCACUGAGCUGUUUCAUUCAGCAUCUUUGACAUUCUUCACAGCAAAACAAGCUUGCUUAAAUGGUUUAAAGUGUGGAGAUCAGUACAGCUAAGUUACAACCGCUUAAAUUAAAUGCCCUCUAUGUGGUUUUCAGACUCUCCAAGCACAGAUUCUUGGAAGAUACAGUUAAUUGUUUUUCCAAGACUAAAUUUUUGGAAGUGUAGCAUUGCCCUCUCUAAAAUAUUUUUCAAAUUGCAACACCUAAAGCAGCUGUAUUCUAUCUUUAGCAGUACUUGCAUGCACUUUUCAAAUACAAGUAAUAUCCCAUCACAUGCUGCAACUACCAUGCCUACUGUAUGCAUAGAGAAACAGAGCUGUAGAAUGAGAACUUGAUUUAUCCCAUUCACAGCGGAUGUCUGUAGCGUAACUGCAAGGGAAACCCUGACCUUUUGAGACCUUAUGCCUUAACCACUCAACCAACAUAAACACCCCAUUGCUCAUUAAUAAUUAUUUCCUAAGAAAUAAGCAUGGCAUACUUGCAAAAGUGCAGCAUAGAUAAGACUCUGAAACAACUCUUCGGCUGCUUAUACUUACAGAUAUAAACAGUACACAGUUCAUAAUCCACCUGGAGUUUUCAGAAGGUUUUGAUGUCAAUGCUGUUCAAACACAUCCUCUAAAACACUGAGUAUAUAAUCCCUCAAUAUGUGUCAGAUAAAGGAUUCCUUAUUGAUCUGAGGCCAGGAUUUCAGCAUAGUGUAACUCAUGCAAACUUUAGGCUUUUUGUGUUGUUUCUCUUUCUUUGUCUGGCUACUCCUUUCUCACUUUUAAACAUGCAAUCUACGAUCCGUAAGACUUAGGAAAAAAUCCAAAACUGUUUUCCUUGUAAUUCAGUACAUCCAGAUAAAACCAUGCUAGAAGGUUAUUGUUGAUGCUUUGUUUGCUCAUACUAUACACACCAUCUAUUAUAUAUAAUCCCUGGAUAUCCUGAAAAAUCAUUGCUAAAAUCAAAGAACUUCUGUAUGAACUUGAAGCUUUAGUGACUGAACAGCAUCUAUCAUUAGAAGAAAAGAUCAGAAAAAAACAUGCAGAAGACAUUCCUUGUUCAAUUGUAUUACUUUUUGCAAGCUAGCCAUUAAAAAACUCUUGCUAGGUAAUGUCAAUAAAUCAGUUCAGGUACAUGAGAUUAAGAUUCACAGUACUUUCUUGGGACAUAUCCCAAGCAUAGACAUAUCUCCUUGGCACAUACAGAGCUGCACCGUUAACUCAUUAACUUUGUUUAAAAACUGUUCUCCCCAUGUGUGUGAUAGGCUGCAACUAACAGUCUGUUUUGUAAACUAUUCAAGCCUAUUCUGUGCUCAUGCCAUUUUUAAGACUUGUCUACAUACAAAAGUUAUGCUUACUUAUACUGCCUCAAUUUAAUCAGCUCAGGCCCUGUACUGUGAUGAGAUCAUAAGGUUGUUUUCUACCUCAUGUGUGAAAUUCCUCAUUUUAUGGAAAACAGACACGGCCCUUUCAUACUAUCACAGCUGCAUCCACAUCCAGGUUACACCUGCACAACUAUUUCAACAAAGAUAAUAUGUAGCUAAGGUACUUACACUUCUCUAAAACCCAUAUUUAGACCAAAACAUACACCUGAAAGUGUUCCUUAGAUAUUUUGGUAAGGGAUUUCAUUAGGAACUCAAGCACUAUUAUUUUUGACGUAUACCAUUUUAGAGCCGAGGGAAAGUUCCAGGUGUAAGAGUCUCUACAGGAAAAGAAAAUGGCAUGAGUACUGGCAGAACCAGCUUCCUGAGCGUCUGUGUCAUCCCCAAUGGCAAGAUAGCGUUUCACUUUACGUGGCAAACUAUCACUAGCUUUGGAUGCUUUCAAAUACUAUUCAGGAUGUAAUUAUAUUUGUUGCUCAGAAAACUGACAGGCUGAAGAUGCCAAGUCAGCUGAGCCAAUAAAUCCUAGUAAAUAUUCAAAACAUCAGAAAGUGUUGAAAAUGUCCCAGAAUUUCUUCAAGCUCACAAUGAGAUUUCAGUAUUUUGCAAAAUAUAAUGGUUCUUUGUUUUUGUGCUUCAGUGCCAGCACUACCACGUAGCAAACUGGAACAUUAAUAAUUUGAAAUUUUCUCAAUGAAAAUAAUUUGUAAGAAAUUUUAAUCAUUGAUGACAUUGCUGAUUUUAUAAUUGAGCACGAAUCUGCAUUCUGGGACAUCAAGCAGAGAGGAAAGUAGGAAUAUUUAGAUAUUACAAAGCCCCUGUAAAACGUGGUUUCAUUAACAGAAUUUCAAAAGAUGUGAACAGUUUUAAUGAACAAUGAGCAAUGUAAAUGUUCACAGAGGGGCUACCAGUAGAUCUGUGCUCUAUUGUGCUCAUGUGGGUCCACCCACAUGAAUUUCCCUGUUCUGCUUCUAUCUUCUGUGACCUCUUCCUCCACUUCUUCUUACCAGAGUAAUACCGGGAGCUCUGGUUUCCUUCAGCCUUUCACCAAGGAAUGCAGCUGGGUAUGCAGCACAGCAAUACGCAACAGGCGGCUCAUACAGAAACUAAGACAAGCUGCCUGCCUGGCUGGAGAUACUGUUGCAUUCGUGCUACAGUCCUACUGGUAUAGAGGAACAUUUUGGAUCACUCUCUGUUUCUACCUAGUCACCAAUUUUUCUGAAGCCUGUAAAAACUUAAGAAGUGUAGAAGUCUGCCCCACUGUCAAAUUCUCCUGAAAUCAGCCAACAUUUUCUGACAUACAGACUGGUACUGCCAUUGCAGACACGUUUCUUCCAGAUACAAGGUGAAAACACACUUGGUGAUGAAUGUAAACAUACCUGGAGGUACAGGCUUAUCCCGCUUUUCUACUUCGGGGUUCCUAAACUUUGUCCCCCUGUCUAGAUUAGUACAUGAGAUCUCACACUACACAAGGGUUGGUAGUAGAAUGCAAAACCAUAUAUUUGUUAAAUUUGAAAAAUUUAGAUUUGAAAUGUUAUCAAUCUGUAAAAGCAAGGUGACGUGGACUCCCAGAAUAGUGGGCAACAGGAUAUGACAUAUCCUUUAUGAGUUUUCAAUUUUGGAUAGAUAAUAUUUUUGCACAGCAGUUGCUUGCAUAUGGAAAUCUUUAGGGAUUAUAUUAUUUCCUCACAAAACGUCUGUGGAUUCAGAGAAGCAAAAAAUACACAGAAAUGGAAGAGUUAGAUAUAAUAGAUAUUAGUUAGAUUUCAUGUGAAUGACAGAAGGCAUGCAAAAGAUUGUGUUAUAACCCAUAUUCUGAUUACUCACACUCUGUAUAUAAUUAUAGUAUGAGCAUUGUACACAGAGUAUAUAUGCAUAUUUAAAUAUCAAUUGAAGCCCCUAUGAAAUUUCACAAGAUAACAAACAUUCAGGCUUCUCCCUCUAAUUUCCAGUGCCCACUUUAAAGCCAAAGUAGUCUGAAAUGUUUGAACUUCUCUUCAACAGAUGCACCUUUUCUAACACGAUACAUGAAUGUUACACGUGGUCUAAGAUCUUCCAUGUCACAAUCACACCUGAAAUAAAACGGAUUUAUAACUUCUUCUCAAUAUCAGAGACAAGUGCUGCUCUAACCCAAACAAAUCAGUGGGAUCAGGCAGACUGGGUGAUAUACCUGCAUUCAGCAUUGUUUAGAACCACAUAAUCAUCAGCUCUGAAAGUUAUUAGCAAGGCAUAAAGCUUUUGGAACUGCAGUAGAUUUACUAAUUUUCAUAUUUGAAAUUUCUGUUUAAAUCUUGUAUCUUUCUGAAGUUUUAUUAAGAAACAUGCAUUAGUUAUUAAAUCACUCCACGCCCUGUUGCUGUAUGGGACAACACUGCAUGCUCAUUCAUCCUCUUCAAGGCUUGGGUGGCCUAACUGAGUCUGUGGCUGGUCUCUGACCCCGCUUGCUAGAUAUAUUUACCUUACUUCUACCAUUUUGUAUGGAAUUAUUUGUCAGCUUCAGUGCUGCUCCUUCCUCUGAGCUAGACCUUUCAUUUUGUUCCAUUUUCAUCUUCCAGUCUCAUUUUAUCUCUUCAAGGGAUAAAGAAAUUGAGGAACUAGCUGCAAAUAUAAUUUCAUAUGGCUUCCAUCCCCUUAUGAUAAUCCACCAGAUUAGCAAGUACAUUCUUAAAAGUACAAUGAUACAUUCCUUUGUAUGGUGGUCUUCAUCCAGAUCCCACAAAUAAGCCCAAAGAAAUUCUUAGAAUAUGGAAUUUCAGCUUAGAUGAUCACAAAUUAACCAGAGAAGGGUAUAUGUUAGUUCAAGCAAAUGACUCACAUUUUCCAUUUUUGCUCUAUACCAGAAGAAAUUAGAUAGUUAAUUUUAAAUGCAAAACUUUGUACAGCGUGCAAAUCAUGUCUGUGUGUCAAAGUAAAAUAACAAACCUAAUGAGGAAUGUUAAAAAAGCAAGACCCAUUAGUUUAAAGAUACAUGGAAGCAGCCAAAGAUGACAAACAUGCAUAAAAUUCAAAACAUGAUGGAAAAGGGAACAGGCACUGAACCACAUAAAUCAGUGUUUUGAAUUCGAUUUCUCUGUGGGUAUAAUUGUACCUUAGUUUCUUAUAAUGAUUUAUUGAGGUAAAUAGUCUGUAUGGUUUAACAGCUACAGCUUCAAAGUGUCAGGCACAGACUCUCCUUUAUUCAUGAGGCAGCUGAGUAUUGGGAUGUGAAUUAGCUUCUGUAUUCUGGGACUUGGCAAAGUUUGUUAUAAGGACCUUAAGGUCCUUAUAAAGGAUUCAUGUUGAUGCAGCUAUUCAAAUGUGAAAAACACUGUGCUGCAAUGGAUGAAAUAGAAAAGCUUUACAGUAAUUCUGGAGGUUCAAAAAAAAAAAAGUAAAAACAUUGAAAUAAACCAUUCAGAAUUACUUUCAGCAAAAAAAGGCAUGUCCUAAAGUUAAUUUUAAUACAUUAUAUUAUUCUGACAAACACAGAAAAAAAAUUCUUGAUGAAGUACAAAAGUGUGAAGAAAUUCCAGAAUUUACUUUCAAGUUAAAAUAAAAUAUAGUACAAAAAAGAAAUGGUAGAAUUUUAAGCUGUGAUAUUCACACUUUGGGUCAAUUGCCAAACUGCACAUUCUAUUGCCCUCAGACCAGGAUAAACCAACCAUUAACUAAUCAAAAGAAUCAUCAUCCAUGAAAGCUAUGAUGGUGUUUUAACAGUUCUUAAUCUGUUAAUAAGAAAGAAUAAUUUGCAGAAUAUAUUCCCUCUUCUGUUUAUAUUCACAGGGCCAUUCUUAGCAGAAAUUAUAUGUAGGCUCCCAUGGUGUAAAAACCCUAUGAAAGCCAUGAAAAUUCACUAAGCUUCCUUACGUACGGUGCCAAGACAUUCAGCAGGAACCUUGGUCCUUGCCAAGAAACACGUGUGCCUCAGAUACAGAAGCUCUGCAUGUACCGGUAUUUCAACAUUCCUGGAGAGAAAUGUGACCCCUUGAUGAAUACACUGGUUUGCUGGCAUGCCUGCAUUCCUCCCCAUCUGUCAGAGUGGCAUUCUGCCUCCUCACAAGGUGGGAUGCCAGUUUUGGAGCACAGGUGCCAACCAAAUAUAGGUUCAGACUAAUACUCUGCAAAAUGUGGCAAAUGACAUUUCACCUGCAAGAAGAUCGUCCUACCUCUGACCCGUGCCAAGUUAGGAUUGCAUGCCUCAUUAACAAAGGGGGUCAUCUUCUGAAAAUCAUGGGCAGCACCAGAAAUGCUGGUUUCCUCUGUAAUAUCUCCUAGCUGAGAGUCUUCAGAGCAGAGGCUUAAUUUACAACACACCAGAUUUUCCUAACAUUGCAGGCAUGCAGCCCUUCUGAGAAAGCUGCAAUAGACCAUGGACAGGGAUAUGUUGAGUUCAUUCUCCUAGACGCAUUUCGGACAAAUUCCAGGAUUCUUAAAAAGAGUAAAUGAACUAACGGAGCAGAAAAGACACAAGUAAAGAUGUGUAUUACCUCUGAGGGGUUUUGCUAACAACACAAAGAAAAUUAUCUGUUACGACCAUCAAGAAAAAAAAAAAAACAACCCACACUUGUUAUCAACUACCGAAGCACUCAUAUAAUUUUAAAAUUCUUAUAAAAUAAUCAAGUUUUUUAUUAGAAAAAUUGACAUAAAAUACAAACAUGCUACAGUUAUAUUUUAGUUUGAGAAUUUAUGUUCAUGUGAAAGCACAUUAGUAAUGAACAACCACUCUGUAUAAAAAACAUUCAUCAUACAGUGCCAAUACUGAUUUGUAUUAAGUGGUGUCUCAAUAUCUUCAGAAUAAAGUAUAUUUUGAAUGCUUUCUCUAAGUAAAAUAUCCCACACUAUUUUAAUCUAACAAGAAAAGUUAAAUAUUCACUUGGUCAACAAACAGAAUAAACCAAAAACGGUAUUGGCUUUGCUCCCAAAUUAGCUUACCUAUACUUUAUAUAUAAAUGUGAGCAACAAUAACAGAGUAUUGUUAAUCUAAAAAAUAUAUAUCUCCUUUCUGGAAAUAACUAAUUAUACCUUGUUUGGCAAUUUGUCACCAUUUCUGUAAUUUCUUUAUCCCAGGUCGCACGUGAAAUAGCAGCAGCUUUAGCUUAAGUUUUGUUAAACUGAUUAUCCACAAAUGAAAGUCAUUCUGUACAAUUCCAUAUUAUUUAGACUACUCAGAGAGCACACCACUGCUUUCCCAAAUGACAAGCUCCAAGCUAUUAGCUCUUCCUAGCACAAAAUUACAAACCAAUGCCUUGAAUUCUAUAAUUAUAACUCAAUACGUUAAGAUGCAGAGUCCUGCAUCUGAGAUGAAAUAACCCCAUGCAACAUGACAGGCUGGAGGCCAACUGGCUAGCGAGCCUAUUUGCAAGGAAAAAGCCUGGAGGUUCCUGUGGACAACAAGCUCAUCAUGAACCAGCAGCGUGCCCUGGCAGCAAAGAAAGCCAGCAGCAUCCUGGGCUGUACUAACGGAAGCACUGACAGCAGACUGAGGGACUUGAUAAUUCCCAUCUUUCUGGCACCUGUGAGCCUGCAUCAGGAGCAGCGCCUCCAGCUCUGAUCUCCCCAGUUCAAGAAAGACACUGAAAGAGCAGAGCAGGUCAGCAGAGGCACCAAGGCAAUCAGCAAGACAUGCAAGAAGAAGCAGAAAGAGCUGGUGUGCACAGCCUGAAAAACAGCAGGCAGAGGGGAGAGCUUAUCACUGCCUGCAGCUGCUUAAUGAGAGGGAGUGAGGAAGAUGAAACGAGGAUCCUCACAGAGGUACACCAUGAAAUGACAAGUGGCAAUGGAUACAAGUCAAAUUACAGAAAGUUGUAAUGCAACAUAAGGAAAAAACUGCCAUAAGGAUGGUCAAACUCUGGGCUAGGUUGCCAAGAAACAAUGCAGUGUUACCAUUCUUAGAGAUACUGGAAACCACACUGGACAUGGCCCUGUGUUUUAAUGGGAUUUGCAUCAAGCAGGAGGUAGGACUAGAUGAGCCUUGGUGGUCCCUUCCAACCAACAUGAGUCUAUGUUGCUGAUAUACAUGAUUUUAUAUGAUACACGUACCAGUUUUGGCAAUGGAAAUGGAAAAUAUAGGAACAUUCACUCACUAAGCUGUUUAGGGACAGCAUAUGGCCUUAUUUUUUUCAUCUCAGCUUUCCAUGCAAAGAAAACAUCUCAGUCUUCUGUACCGACCUCACUUCUAGUAAAUUAACAGCAUUAUAUGUGACACUUUUACUAAGCCUUCCCAUUUUGGAUCCCAAAUUCUUUAUAAAUAAUGUAUUACCUAAAAAUAGAAAAAGGCACCUGGUACACCCCCUGAGAAAACAAAGACCUAAAGUCAGCAGAACAACCUAUCUUUCUUCCUGGUACUUUGUACCUGUGGGCCAUAACCACAGGUUAUUGUAUAUAUUAUAUAUUAUUAUAUAACAUAAUGCUUUCUAGACAGGAUACAGUUACAGUCUCAGACCUAUCGUAAGUAUCAUGAUAUAAAAAAGGACGUGAUCUUUCACAUCCAGGUUAAUUUAUUUAAAAUUUAUUAUUUCAGACAAUUAAAAAUACCUUGAUGCUUGAGCUCAAAUUCCUAUGCUUAAUGUCAAAGUGUACAUGCAUUGCUGCAGUACUGCACCUGCCACUUUAUGUUGUUUACUAUAAGAAAAUGCAUACCAAAAUGUUAAAGUCAACCGCAGUGUAGGCAGAAUGCACAGUAGGUUUUUGGCAAAGUUGGCGGACAGUUUAUAGUUUAUUAAUGCUGUGUAUAGCUUGAAAAGUUCACUACAUUAAUUUUAAAGACUUGAUGCAAGAAAUAAGAUGUUGGUGUUAAAAAGGUAAAAGCGGGUAAUGAAUUUCCCUUUUAUUUUUGUAUUUAUUGCAGUCACUCAAAGGCAAUAGGCUGUGACUGAUACUGAAUUAAUAAUCCAUGGCCCAGCACAGGGACAAAGUAAAAGAGUAAAUAUCUAUUCAUACGUCCUUUUGUAUAGUAAAGAUCUUACAGUAGCAAAAACCAAGGGGACCUGCUGUCUGCAUGUUAAGUAACACAGGUCACCAGAACACAUACAAACUGGCUGCAAUGGACCUAAUUCAUCUUACAGGUUCCUGUAAGUAGGAGGAGUAGUGAAUGAUCACAAAUGUGGACCACAGACUGUCAGGACACAAAUUAGUGUAGGUGUUUUUGUAGAAGGAAAAAUGUCUGUAAUGCAGUGGCAGUUGACAGUACUGUGACACAGCCCUACUGUGGAAAUGCAGAUUUGUGUCAGUCUUCAAGGCUUAUUUGGACAUCAGAUGCACGUGAAAGUUUUGUGUAUUCCACUGAGCAUGAAAGUCAAGCAGAAACAUUUCAGAAAGGACUGACUUGGGACCUACACACACACACAUCAGAAUGGCAGUGCACCUUCUUUUUGUUUGUUUUUCAAACCAAGAUCUUUUUCAGAUCAUUUUGAAUUGAAUUAAAAGCAUCAGUAUAAAGAUA